rnacentral:rRNA from 1 species
UACGAAGGGGGCUAGCGUUGCUCGGAAUCACUGGGCGUAAAGCGCACGUAGGCGGAUUGCUAAGUCAGGGGUGAAAUCCUGGAGCUCAACUCCAGAACUGCCUUUGAUACUGGCGACCUUGAGUCCGGGAGAGGUGAGUGGAACUGCGAGUGUAGAGGUGAAAUUCGUAGAUAUUCGCAAGAACACCAGUGGCGAAGGCGCUCACUGGCCCGGUACUGACGCUGAGGCGCGAAAGCCAGGGGAGCGAACGGG